UACGUAGGGUGCAAGCGUUAAUCGGAAUUACUGGGCGUAAGCGUGCGCAGGCGGUUGUGUAAGACAGAUGUGAAAUCCCCGGGCUCAACCUGGGAACUGCAUUUGUGACUGCACAGCUGGAGUGCGGCAGAGGGGGAUGGAAUUCCGCGUGUAGCAGUGAAAUGCGCAGAUAUCAGGAGGAACACCGAUGGCGAAGGCAGUGUUCUGGGCCAGUACUGACGCUGAGGAGCGAAAGCGUGGGGAGCAAACAGG
rnacentral:rRNA from 1 species